rnacentral:lncRNA from 1 species
GGUGAUAGGUUUCAAGAUGGUGGUCGGUGGUGGAGGAUCUGGUUAAUUCUGGUUUUUUCUUCUAUUUUCUGCUAGACAUCAGUGAGGUCGUGUUGGUUUGAUUGUUUAUAUUGACGAUAUGAUUUGUGUAUGUUUCGGUUCCUAUGUGCAGAAAAGAUUAUGAUGCGAAGAUAAUUGUUGAUGUGGAUAUUUCUUCUUUUCUCCAUACCUGGUUAUUGUUUGCAAGUUAUUUUUGCCGAAGAUCGAAAUGCCUAGGAUUAUUUAGGAUCACUUUCUGGUUUGGUUUAGAUUUGGUAGAUUGUUCACCAUGUAGGUAGAAUAUUUUCUGGUUGAUUUGUGGUGUUAGGUAUUGGAAUAAGCAGAAUCAAGGCUUCAGAUCGAAGAUAUUUAAAUUGGUUACGUUGGCCUUCUGUUUGAUUGGGGAAUUUGUGUUUUUAAUGAAUUGCGAUGCAGCUUCACACAGAUCUGAUGAUUGGUUCAUUGAUUGAUUUCAGCUCUAGUAGGAAAGAGAGGGUGAUUCCUGAUAUUAACGCUGUGUUGCGGAUAGCUUGAUAAUCGAUUUAAUAUGAUAUUUUUGGAUUAUUGCAAUUUAUUCCUCUUUUCACGUCUCCACGGAGACAUCCAUUCAAGUUCGGUGAUUUUAAAUGAGUUUCUCUCUCUUGGGUCAAGUGUUAUUUCGUCCCUCCUUCAACAAGUGUUCACAGUUUGAUCAUUUUUUUAAAUCUUUAAACUCUGUUUAAAAUGAUUGUAUGAUGGCUAGCAAAAACGGUUCUUUUGGUGGUUCCUUUCUGUAUCUUUUCAAGAUUGGUGGUUUGUGGUUUGAUUUUCAGGAUCAGGGAGCAUUUUAUGUAAUCCUUUUAAACCUGUCGGCAGGGUAGCGAGGGAGAUUUUCUUUUACCCUCUUUUUUGUGCCCUCGUUAAUUUAAUUGGGCAUGUAGAACUAGUUUCUGUGUUUUGAGCUAACUGUUCGAAGAGAUGUUGACUGUGUAUGAUAAUAACCUAAUGUGAUAAUAUUUAAAUUUUUAGUGCCUCCAAUGUAUCAUACUAUGGAGCAUAGUGUGAUCAAACAUGACGUUGUUUGGGAAGUAUUCUCCUUUUUUGGUCUGGAUUCUCUUAAAAAUGAGAAAUAUCUGAGCUUUGUAAGGCAUCCUGAUCUUCUGCUUCUUUAUCAGGAAGAUAGAUAUAACAAAUUUUACUUAAAAGACAAGAAUUUAUAGUACUUCCGAGUAUAAUAGUAGUAAAUGAGUUUUAGAUGUUUGUUUUCCAGGAUCUGUAUGUCAUGGACCAAUAGUGAUGCAUAAGUGGAUUUGAGUGGGAUUCCAGCGACUGGCAGCUUGUGCCUUGUGGAUAGGCACGAAUAGGAAGUCUUUGUUUGAGUUUUGGUGUAAGAUGUGUUUGAUACAAUGGUAUUCAGUCCUUCAUAGAAGAUGCUCUUUUUUGAUACAAUGGACUUGAGAUGAACUGUAUAUAGGGAGAAGUUGAUGUGAAAGGGAGUAUUCAUCGUCUUCUUUUCAUGUUGGUGGUUUUUAGGUGUAAGCUUUUUUUUUGUCUGUUUCUAUUGGUCCACAGGUGGUGUUGUGGUUAAUUCUGAUAACCAUAGUAAUUUUUCAGGAUUCUGUUAAUGUAGUGGACUAAUGGAUUUGGGGAGAGACAUAUAGAUAGAGAUGUUCUUUUUGCUGCACUCAUUUGGUGUUAGCUACAGCUUAGAUGUAAGCUUGAAUAUUCUAUCUACAACUCAAUAUUUGAUAAUAUCUGUACAGGCUUGAUCCGGAAGUCUUUUUGUACCUUGGUUUUUGGUUGAGUUUUUCUACUUGAGGUUCAAAUUUGUUCUUCUCAAGACCUGUCCAUCAACUUUGAUUAUUCCAAGCAUUGAUGAUUCCCUGGUGUGAUUUCCAGGUCCAUGGAGCAUUUUGGUGGUUGGAUGCUAUGUUCACGGUGAAACCUGGGUAGUCAGGAAGAUUUUUCUUUUAUCUCUCCUUAUUUUUCUGCCAGUUAAAUUUAUACCUCCAUACACUUUAGUCACACAAAACUAGUUUCUGAGUUUCUAUGUGUGUGUUUCCAGCUUUUGACGAAGAUAUGGAGCAGGGAGUUUUCUUGCCUCUUCUGAUGUUUGCUCUUCCCCAUUCUUGUGUGAAUAUUGUUAUAAUACUAGAUUUUCUUUAUCAGGUUUCCUUGGAUCCAGUGGAGCCUUCUCCCUCUCUCUCUCUUCCCUUUUUUUUGCUUGUUUGAGAAAAAUAUUUGGCUCCUUUCCCUUAAUUAUCUCUUCUUAAAUGUGUACAGACAUACACACAUUGCAUAUCCAAUCCUUUAUUUAAUCUCUGCUCCUUCUCAUCUUGGUUAUGAAAUUGAGCAGGCUUUUCUAAUGAUUCCACGUUUGGAUUUGUUUGUCGUUCCUUGUGUUUAGUAAGCUUGCUAUGCUGAUAAUAUAUUUUGUUCAAUCCACUUUGAGUUCUACAGUAUCAUUUAAAGCAAUGAUGUUUUGUCAUUGACCUUUCAAACUUCUUUUGUGUUAGGGGUAGGAGCAAUUUAGCACUGUUCCAUCUUGGUUAUGAUCUUUCCUCAUGUUUUUGCUGAUUAUCUAUUUUAGGAUGUUUGUUUGGUUAUUGGUUCAAAGAUCAUCAUCUGAAGCUACAUUUGGGUUUUUUUNNNNNNNNNNNNNNNNNNNNNNNNNNNNNNNNNNNNNNNNNNNNNNNNNNNNNNNNNNNNNNNNNNNNNNNUUUUUUUAUUAAGUUGGUUUUUGCUUUUUCCUUCUAGUAAAGUGUUAUUUGUACUUCCAUCAACAAGUAAUCUGUGUUUUUUUACGUCAUGUUAAAUCCUUUUUCGAGGCGUGGAUUAGGAUCAUUCUUGGAUAUCAUCAUCAUUACUCUUUGCUUAAGUUCCUUUGUCCUCAGUAUUGGUGGUUUGUGGUGUGAUUUCCAGGAUUUCCAGGAUAGUGGAGCAUUUAUGUAGUUCAAUCCCAUGUGAAUUGUGAAGGCUGAAACUUGUCAACAGGGUGUGGUCAGGGAGAUUUUUUUUAACCCUAUUUUGUGCUUCUCUUAAUAUAAAUUUAUAUAUUCAUAGUUACUAGGCCAUAUAGAACAAUUUUCUGAUUAUGUAUGUUUGCAUUUGCUGUCAACUUAUUGUUUUGAGGACGAUGUUUACUAGGAAUGAUAAGGGAGUUUUCUUGCCUUCUAGAAUAUUGAUUCUAUUCGGUUUAUGCCGGUAAAAUCAUGGAGUGGGUACUCUCUAACUUUUAGAGUUUUUUUGGUCUCCUGAUCCAGGUUCAUAUACCCCAGUUUUUUUUGCCUAAUCAAAUAUAAGGAGCCUAGUGUGAUAAAAUUAUGGUAUUGAUUUGGAAGUAUUCUCUCUUUUGCCUGGAUUCUCUUAAAAUUCAGAGAUAUUUGAGCCCCAUUCCCUUGAGUUUCUGCAUCCUUAUCUUCUGCUAGGCUUCGAACUUGCAUUUGCUUUUCCAAUGAUGCCAUAAUUGUUUUAGGGACUUGGAGGAGUGCAACAGGCUUGAUUAGGAUGUUAGUUCCUCAGUCAGAGUUCAUAAAUUUUAAUAUAAGAAUGUGAUGUCCUUGUGUAAGAACAGUAAUAAAUAAGUUCCAGUCUCUUUCUUUUUUCAGGAUCUGCAUGAGUGCAUUGACAAAUUCAUUGUUUAUGCUUGGUGAAACCUGUCGGCAGGGUGGUCAGAGAGAUUUUUGUAUUUUGCACUUCUGUUGAUUAGAUUACUAUAUUCAUAGUCAUAGGCUUGUAUAAUUAUUUUCUGAUUAUGUAUGUAUGCAUGUGUUUUUAACUUAUUGUUUGCGGCAGAUGUUUACUGGGAAUGAUAAGGAAGUUCUCUUGCCUCUGGGAAGUGUCCUCUCUUGUGCCUUGGUUCUCUAAAAUGUGAGAGAUAUCUGAGCUGCAUGCACUUUGGAUCGGUAGUGAUGCAGGAAGAGAGCAAUGUAAUUAAAGUGUUGGCCAUGAUUUCUUGUUAUGUUGGUAUGGUGCAUGAAGCUUAAGGUGAUUAAGUAGGAUGUUGCCUUUUGUCUUGUCUCUGGGGUCCUAUGGCUGGGUGUUAACCUGAGUGUGCCUCCAGUGAAGUCUUUGUGGCAUCUUAUGGAUGGUCAUGAACGGGAAGUUAUUGCUUUGGUUUUGGUUGAAGGUGUGUUGGAUACAAUGAUAUUCUGCCCAUAAGUGUCUACCCAAAGAUGCACUGUGAAAUUUCCAGUCUCCCCUAAAAUAAGCUUCUGGAUGGGGAAGUUCACGAUUAUGGAGGGAGUAAUUGUUGUCCUCUGCUCAUAUUGUUGAGGUUCUGCGAGUAGUAUCAGAGUGUUGUGUUUCUGCUUUUAAUAAUCUUGAAUUCUUUUUGCAGUUUCUGUUCUCAUUCAUGGCGUGGUGCAGAGCAGUGUUCAAAUGUCUUGUUGGAUUUUCAUUUUUAUUUGUUCUUUUAUUGGUUCAUAGACGUUUGGUACUUGGUAGUCCUUGAUAUAAUGGAGACAUAUUUUGGAAGAAAGAGUUUUUGCGUUGGUUUGUUGUUGGCUUCUUGAUACCGGCAUUGACAAGAGCUUGCACCUUCUUUCAAUGGUGGAAUAUCAGAGAAUAUGCGCUCAGGCUUUACCAGGAAGUCUUUUGUGCCUUGGUUUUUGGAUGGAAGUAUUUCUAAUUGACUUUCAGAUUUCUAGUACUUAAGCAUAGCAAUUUGGAUGCAUGAUUGAUUUGUGGUGUGAUUUCCAGGAUUGUGGAGCGUUUUUUUCUUGUUCAAUCCUGUGCACAUGGUGAAACCUAUUUGUUGUAAUUCUGAUGUCUUCCCUUACCAGGUUUUCUUGAUUCCAGUGUGUAGUCAUGGAGCAUAUCGAGAUCAAUUGAAGAUUCUAAUCAAGAAGUACCCUCAUUCUUUUUUCUCUAACCUUUUUAAGGAACUUUUAAAGUCUAAGCUGCAUGUGUAUAUAAAAUUCUCCCAUUGAUGUUUCAACUACUUAUAUACCCUACCAAAGAACAUGAUUGCUAUACUUUUAUCUUUUGCAUGUCCCUAGAAGUUAUAUGCACGAGUGCAUUGAAAAGUUCAUGGGCUUUGCAUUGACCAAUAGUGAUCCAGGGUGUUGUGUUUGAUAAGAUAAAUGUGUUGGCUGUGAUUUCUUAUUAUGUGAUCAAGUAGGAGACUGCCUUUUGUUUCUAUUGUCUCUGGGUCCUGUGGCUGGCUUCUGCUCUUAGUACCAGUGUUGUUCUGCUAUCCAGCCUUCCAGUGGUUCUUCUUGCAGCAGCUUGUGAACAGGAAAGUCUUUGCCAAGUUUUUGGUUUAACAUAUGCUCUGAUACAAUGAAAUUGUGUCCAUCAUAUUCCAUUAUGUGGUCUCACUCAAAGAUGCACUUUCUUAUGUCUCCAGGUUCUCUUGAGAUGGACUGUAUUAGAGGGAGAAGUUGAUGUUUGUGAAGGGAGUAUUUAUUGUCCUCAGCUCAUGUUAUGUUGGGGGAUUUCGGGUGUAGUUUUCUUGUUUGUUCUGGGUUCCAUCAAUGUAGUGGACAUAACAGGUUGUGUUGAGAUUUGCAUUCAUUUGGUGUCGGCUCUUUGGUUAGAGAUGUGAGCUUGCAUCUUCUACUACUCAUUAUUUGCAAAUAUGUGCACAGGCUUGAUCAGGAAGUCAUCUGCACCCACCUUGUUCUUUGGUUGAAUUUUGUUCUUCUAAAAUACUGAAGUAUUUGGGGUCCAUCAACGAUGAUUUUGUGGUGUGGUUUCCAGGGUCAUGGAACAUUUUUGUGGUUGAAAUCCUAUGUGCAUGGUGAGAGCUGUUGGCUGGUUAGGUUAGUUCGUGGAGACUUUUUCAUUUCUUUUUUUCUGGCAACCAAAUUUAUAUUUCUGUACUCAUUAGGCACAUUGAAUUUCUUGGUCUGUAUUUUUGUGUGUCCCCAGCUUUUUAUUUGAAGAGGAUGUUUAAGUAAGAAUGAUCAGGGAGUUUCUCUUGGCUCUUCCUAGUGAAUGUUGUUAUAAUUUUGAGAUCUUUCCUUGACAGGUUUCCUUGAUUCCAGUGUUAAAUUGUGGAGCAUAAUGGUAUCAAUUGGUGAAGGUCAAGAACUACUAUGUUUUUUUUUGGCUGUUUGAGAAAUAUAAUUGUGAUGCUGAAUGGGAACAGUUGAUGGUGCUCAUCUUGGAAGUGUUCUCUCUCUUUUUUUUUUCCUUCUUUUCGUGGCUGUUUGAGAAAUAUUUUGCACCGUUUUUUUUUGGGGUCUCCCUUAGUUUGCUGUUUGAGAAAUAUGUCGUCUUUAAUUUGAUCUAUCCCCUCAUCGUCUUGGCUAUGAGCUUGCACUUGCUUUUUUCCUGCGACUCCAUGUUGUGUUGUUUGAUUUAUGGUUCCCCUUAGUAAUGCUGUAUGGGCAUGUAAAUUGUAUUUUGCUCAAUAUGCUUUGCAUUAUGUGCAUGAGAUACCAUUUAAAGCAAUAAAAUCUCUUCUCAUUGAUCUUUCACAUUGAUCUUUCAAUUUCAUUUUUAGAUGUUUCAACUUCUCUUUCCUAAUUCUUAAAAAGGCUUGGCUAAUAUAGGCGUUUUAGCAUGUUAAAAUUUCAGAUUUAUUGAAGGUUUACCAACUGUGAUGUUUUGAGGAUUGAUGAUUUGUGGUGUGAUUUUCAGGAUUGUGGAGCAUUUUUUUUGUAUCCCAUGUGCAUGGUGAAACCUGUUGGCAGGGUGCUCAGGGAGAAUUUUUUUUUUUUACUAUCUCUAGUUUUGUCUGGCAAUUAAAUUUAUGCAUCUCUAUUUAUUUAGGCACAUAGAUUAGUUUCUGAGCUUGCAUUUUUGUAUGUAUUUCCAGCUUGUUAUUUGAGGAGAACGUUAAUCAGGGAGAACUCUUGCCCUUUCUAAUAUCAGCUCUUACCUUUAUAUAAAUGGAAUUCUUGAGUGAGUAGGGUUGUAAUUUUGGGAUCUUUCCUUAUCAGGUUCUUUCUUUUUUUGGUGUCACUUUUGUGUUUUUGGUCUUUUGAACUUAUUUCCAAAUCUUUGAAAAGAUCUUUUUUUUUCUCCCUUCCUUUCUUGGACUUUCAUUUUUGGAAAAUUUGCUAAUAUUUUAGUACAUUAAUGUAUUGCACUUGGGUAUGACGAAUUUGAUAGGAAAGUAGGAGUAAGUACUCCAUCUUCUUUAUGAUCUGCUUUUCCAGCUUUUUCAGGACAGCACGAAGUGUAAAUUGUGAUAUCAGAAACCCAGUUUAAGGAGCUCAGUUGCAUGGGGUUCUCUUGCUGCAAAUAUAAGGUUAUUUACGUUUAAGCAUUAAUUCCUGGUUUUCUUGCUGGCUUUAGUGUGAGCUUGAGUUUCUUCAAGGAGUUGUUUUGACAGCAUGUGGAUUGGGAUGAACAGGAAGUUCUUGCAAGUGUCUUCAGUUUGAGGUGUUCAAAAUUUUUUCUUGACAACAGGAAUGUGGGUUGGAUACCCCUUAGGCUCUAAGUGUCCUGCGAUAUUCUUCUGCCUUCUCCAAACAGCACAGCAGCCAGACAGACACAACCUUCUCCAAACCGCAGCCAUCGUUCGAGUCUCCAACACCAAUGCCUCCACAGGGUAUGUCUCGUCUCAUAUCCUCUUUCUUGUUCUUCCUUCUUCGCACUUCUCCUGAUCUCCUUCUUCUUCUCCGCCCUUCUUCAGUUCUUCUCCAGUUUCCUCCCUUCCUUUCCUCUCAUUAUUCUUCUCUCCACAUCAUUGUAUGUCUCCACUCUCCAGCCAAUCUCCAAACAUAAUGGGUGCUGUUGUUAUGAAUCUUGUGAUAAAUCAUGAAUUUCAAUGUUUGUUUAGAAAUUUAUUAUAAUGGGUUUUGUUGAUUUAUGAUUUGUUGUUCAUUUAUUUAUGAGAAUAUUUGUUUAUUUAUUAAGAACAACACUGAAUGUAUCAUGAGUGUUAUUGAUUUUAAAUUGCUACUUAUUCAUAAUUUAUUUUAGUGGCAUUGAUGAUGUUGAAGUUAGUCAACUAUGUGAAUAUUUAUAUUAUAUAUAUUUAUAUGUAUAUAUUUAAAAUAUCUAAAAAUUUUAGCUUCUUGUCGCCCUUUUAAAAAAGUCAUCUCGCUUCUUGCCUCUCUCCUAGGGUGAUAGGAGAUCUUGUUGCCUUAGUGUUGCCUCUAGCCCAAACUACAAAGAUCAACACUGCCAGAGUUUUAAUACAGUGAUGUUGUGACCAUAAUCCUGUAAUUUAUUUUGCUUUAUUGUUGGUUGCAUUGUGCAUCCAAUUUUAAGUUCUUAAUCAAGAGUUGCAUAUGUCUCCAGGUUCCCCACACAAUUUGAUCUCGUUAUUGUUUGGCUUGUUAUUUGUGAUGGAGCAUCUUUAGACGGUCUACAUACUGUGUCAACCAACUUCAGCUGUUAACAUGGGUUUGCAAGUCUCAUCCUUUUCUCUCUUUGGUCCGUUCCCACUGUUAUGCAGUUCCCGCAUGUUCUGAAAUAACAAGCGUUUCCUAUAUUUCUGGUGGUUUGCUGACUGGGUGGCAUAUGGGUUGGAAUAUAAGUGCAAGUCUUGUCCUCUUCUUUGGUCCAUGUCCAGGUUUAGCUGCUGCAAUUGGAAACUAGAGAUGUGAAGAGAAUCCUGAUUUAACUUUUUGGUUCAUGCUCCUACUCUCAAUCUGUAUUGUAUUGCGAUUUUAAGUCUGCAUGAACCGGUUUCCUUCUCUGAGCUUGCUUCCCUCUCUCUGCAUGCGUCUGCAUUGAUGAUAAGCAAUUGAGGGUGUCUGUCCCCUUCUCACAUUCACAUUUCUUUUACUGUAAUGGAAUAGAAGCUGAAAGUUGUAAUUGCUUCUCAGCUAUGAUCUUGUUCCUUCAGUGAUGUUCAGUGAGGGAUAAGGCACAAUUAGGCUUCAAGAAGGUGGGUGUAUUUUCUGGUUUUGCACUAGUGUAUUGGUGUUUUCUCACGUGUAGUUAGCUGGUUUCAAGAUGUUGGGAAGGAGAACAGAUGUCUUUUGAUGUGUUGUUCUGUUGCUGCAUCUGUAUUUUCUGGUUGUGGACUAGUGGUGUUGGUCUUUUCUGUGCCACGAGUGCUGAUGAUUUUGCGUAUUUGUUUUUUUUCCCGAGUUCUUUUUCUUCCUUUAGUGGUCUUCAUUUGUAUGGUUUUUAAUGCAUGCAACUCCGCCUGUGUUAUCUAGUGCACAGCCGGUCUCAAGCCCGGAUAAAGGAGGAGAGGCUGCAAAUUGUUUGAACUGAUGCUUGGUAGGUGAUAGUCAUUGCCUGACGCUUUGAUUUGGGAGCUUUCAGCUAACUCAUCUGUUACUUCUGAUGAUGAUGCAUUGCCUUUAUUUAAAUUCACAGACUUCUUUAGAAUCAAAGAUUUUAUAAGAAUUCACCUAUUAAAUUCGUCUUUGGAAUGAAAGGAUGUCUUUUUAACCUGAAAAAUCUGAGCACAGUGUACUUUGCAAAGCCAUUGCCCUCAGCAACCUGAAUGCCUAUUUUAACUCCCCAGACCGUUAAUAGCUCCCUUGCUGCAUUCUUUAUAGCGACUGCAAUGAACUGUUGCCCUCUGCAAACAACGUAAAGAUGCAUAUCAAGGGACCCAGCUAGGGUUGAUGCUAGGGUGUAUCUUGUGUAGUUACUCGAAGCACAUGUGCAAGAGACAGCACGAAGCACAUGCACAUGCACAAGAAACCUAAUAAGCUUCGAUGUGAAUACUGCAGGCGUUCUUGAUCAAUAAUCUCUUCUUAACUCGUUUAAUUUUUAAAUCAAUUUUACCUUAAAUUUAAUAAUAUAUAUUUAAAUCCAGUUUAUUAGAGUGCAAUCAGCCCAAAUACUCAAAUAUUUCAUGGGUUGCCAGGGAUGUGUUAUAGAAUCAAACAGCUGUGAGAUAGUGGCAAAAAUACAUAAUCUUGUUAGUUGAUUACCAGAUUAAUAGAGUUAGUAUUAUAUCAACAACAACUACAUUUAUUUAGAUUUGAGGUUUAGGAAUCCACCCCGGAUGUGGAUUAGGUAGCCAAAACCUUUAUUCAUGGCAACAGAUGUAUUAAACUGAUCCUUUUAACAAAUGAGAAGCACAGCCCAAUAUCAAAACCAAAAGCAUACUACUUGAAACAUAUUUCAUCUCUGCAUGAUGCUUUGUCGGAUUAUAUUCAUCACUGCAGUUUCAGUAUCCAUCCUGCUGGUGAUUCUCUUAUCGGUAUUUUCUCCAUUACCUCGCAAGGCUUCAUCAAAGGAUCUCUCCAGGCCCUGGGUGGCACUCUCACUCUACAUUCAGCAACCUCACAUCUCAAGCACUAACGUGCAGCAGCCAGCUGCAUGGCCAGAUUCUGGAGCGUUUAUCUUCCAUCGCACUCUCACAGAAGGACCUGAGAACACUUCCAGGGUUGUUGGGAAGGCCCAGGGUUUCAUUAUUCCGAUUGAAAAUUUUGCACGUUCUGGUUUCAAUAUUAUUCAUCUCUCAUUCGAUACACCUGAGUACUCCGGCAGCCUGAAUGUUCAGGCCAGGCAUGUUGCACAAAGAGAUAGAGAAGAACUUACGGUGGUUGGUGGGACUGGUUCCUUCGCGUUUGCUCGUGGGCUUGCUGUUUUUGCUCGGAGGGAUGAUCUUCCGGCAACUUACUAUGUAAAGCUUCAGCUCAGAUUUCCAAAUCGAUCUCAAAUAAUUCCAGGAUGAGGUUGAGUUGUUUGUCCAUGCUUGUGAAGGUUUUCUUCUUGAGAUUGCAAAGUCCAGUUCUGAAAAGAUUUAUCGAGUCAAAUUUAGAUGAAAACGAAGGAUUAUAUAUAUGCAAGUUUAAUUAAUUGACCUUUUAAUCUUUACAAGAAAUUAAAGCCAUGUAUUUUAACAUCAAAUAUUUUUUAUGAUGUGUGCCUUGAUUUUCUCUAUUUGUGAAUAUACGUGGUGAAAUGAUCCGAAAAUAUCCGGAAACUGGACCGUUAUCCGCACUAGUUUCAGACUUCAGAUAUACUUUUUUUGUAAAUAAUAAAAUUUUAAUUUUAUAUAACCUAUUUUAUAAUUUUAUAUAAAAAUAUAAUAAAAAUAGAAUUUAAGUAUAUGAAUAAUAGUUUUAUAGUUUUUUAAUUUUAAAUAGGAAAUUUAAUUAAUUUUUAAUUAAAUUAAUUUUAUUAUACUAAUUUUAAAUUAUUAUGAGUAAUUUUAAUAAUUUAAUUAUUUUAUUAGAUAUAUAUAUAAUUUUUGUUAAUUUUAUUUUAAUAGAUAAAAUAAUUUAAAAUAAUUAAUAUUACUUAUUAUUUAAUAACUUUAUAAUUAAUGUAUUUAAUAAAAUUAUAAUUCAUUUUAAAAUUUAAAUAAAAUUAUAAAUAAUUAAAAAAUUAAGAAUAUGGAGAUAGAAUAAUUAUUAAAUUAUCAAUUCAUCUUUUUUUUAAUUAUCUAUAUAAAAGAAAAUCUUAUCAAUUAAUUAAAUUUGAAUACAUAAAUUAAUAUAAAAAUUAAGAAUUUAGUAUUUUUAAAAUACUUUUUCAUAUUAUUUAAUAUUUACAUGUGCCAUUCUAAUAAUUCUUGUCUUAAUAUUAUUUAAAUUUUUAUGAACCAUAAAUAAUAAAAUUUAUAUUAAUUCAUAAUUAAAAUUACUUUUAUUGUAAUAAUUUUAAAUUAUUAUGGUAAUUUUAACAAUUUCAUUUUUUUAUCUUCGGGUUUUUAAAUAUAAUUUUAUUAAUUUUAUUUUAAUUAUAAUAGUUUGAAUUAAUUAAUAUUAUUUAUUAGAUUUAGGUAGUAAAAUAAUUUUAAAUUAGAAUUAUUAUUAUUAAAAUAAUAUUAACUUUUUAUUUAAUAAUAUAUAAUAAUAUUAAUAAUUGAAUUUAUCUCACAAUCUUUACAUAUUUUAAAAUUUAAGAUUUUUAGAUAAUUUUAUAAUUAAUUUAUUUGAUAAAAUUAUAAUCCAUUUUAAAAUUUAAAUAUAAUUAUGAAUAAUUAAAAAAUCAAGAUUAAUGAACUUAGAUAACUCUUCAAUUAUCAGUUCAUUUUAUAAAAUUGUGAAGAUUUUAUUUUUGAUCCUUAUAAAUUAAUAGAAUUAAAAAUUAUUAUUUUAAGAUUUAUUUUUUAUAUUAUUUACUAUUUAAAUAUAUUAUUCCAAUAUUUCGUAUCUUAAAAUUUAAUAUUGUUAUAAUUAUACAUAUCUCUAAAUUUGAUAUUUUUUAAACUAACUAUAAAAUUUAUUUAAAUAAUAAAAUAUAUCAAUGAAUUUAAUAUUUAAAUAAAAUUAUAAAUAAUUAAAAAGUAUUAUUAUAUUUUUAACAAUAUUAUUCUUUUUUCUCUUCAUAUCAUAGAUUACAAAAUUAUAUUUUAUUUAAGAAUUAUUAAAUUAAAAUUUAAUUUUAAAAAUAUUAUAAAAUUACUUAAUUUAAUAAUAAAGGUUUUUUUUUUGGAUUUUAGUUUUUUGUUUAACACGGAAUUAGGUUACAUAAAUUUAAUAUUUUAUUUUUAAAACUUAUACAAACACACUAAAUAAUUUAAAUAAUAAUAAAAAUUAAAAUAAUUUAACAAUAAUUAAAUUUACUGUUUUAUUGUAAUAAUAUAAAUUUUUUAAUGGAGAUUAAAUUUUUUAAAAAACGUGAAUUUCUUUUUUAUUUUUUAAAUUAAUAAUUUUUCAAAUUAGAAGCAUAAAAUAUUUUUUUUUUGGAAAAGAUCUAAUAAUUUUAGCCAUUUUUUAUAAAUUUUAUUUUAAAUUAUAUAACAAUUUUUUUUAAAAUUAAUUUAAAUAUAAAUAGGACAAGUACUUUAAAUUUAUAUAAAUUUUAAAAUUAUAUAACUAAUUAAAAUUAAAUUAUAAAUAAAAUGUAAUUUAAAUUUAAAUAAAAAUCAAUAUUCAAAUAAAUUAAAAUUUUAAAAUAAUAAAAAAGUUAUAUUAUUUCUUAAGCAAUCAAAACAGAGAUCAAUUAGUAAUUAUUAAAUUUAAAUAAGAAUGAUUUAGAAAUUUUUUUAUUAUUUUUCUCCUCACUUUUAUAUAUAAUAUAGAUUAUUAAUUAAAUAAUAUUAUUAUUAAAAAAUAAUUUUAAAAUAAAAAGAAAUGAAUUAAUUAUAAAAUAAAAUAAAAUACAAUAUAUAUUAUAUAUAAGAAAACUCAGGCUAUUAAAAAAAUUAUUCUAUACUAAUUUUAUUCAACAACUAAUAUAUAAUAUAAUUAAGAAAACUUUUAUAAAUUAUAGUUUUGAUAUUCUCUAAAUUUUAUCAGAGAAUAAGUCCAUUAAUAAUUUUAUCGUGGAAUAUCAUUUCAGAACUUAACUUGUGAAUUGCCAUUUUCAUCCUUUUCCUCGUGUCAUUAAUAACUGUAAUCUUUUAGCAGACUUAUAUAGAGUAAUGAAUAUUUUAUAUUUUUAUUUUAUAGUAAUAUAUUAAAAAUUAAUAUAAAAUUAAAUUAAUUAAUUUUUAAUUUAUUAUUUAUAUAUUAUAAACCAAUUUAUAACAAUAAAAAAUAAUUCAAAGUUACAUAUUUGAUGAUUUAAAUAAUAAAUAUUUUUAUUGAUUUUAUAGCCAUACACGCCUUCUUUCUUUUUAAUAUUGCAAUGAUAUAAACUCUUUUUGUAUUCAUAAUCUUUUCUCAUAUCUCAAAUAAUUCUUGAUAUUGUAACCAUAUAUAACUCUUUCUUCUUAUAGCGAUUCAUAAUUUUUUCGAAUAUCUCGCCACUUUAAAAUAAAUUUAUCAUUAUAAUUCAUCUAAUAUAUACAAAUAACGAUAAAGUUAAUGUAAUUUUAAAAUUGAGUUAUUUUAAUUUAAAUAUAAAAUUAAUAUAAUUUAUAAAUUAUAAAGAUUACAAUUAAUACCAUUUCAAAAAAAAUUACGAAUAAUAAAUGUAUCAUAUUUUAUUAUUAAAUUUUAGUUAAAAAUUAAUUAAAUUAAAAAACGAAAUAAUAGUAAAUUUAUUUUUAAUUUUAAUUGAAUUUAACUUUUUAUUUUAAAUUAUACUUAAAAAAUAUUAAUUUAUUGUUUUAAUAAUUAUCCAAUAUUUUAAUAAUCUUAAUUUUAAAACUAAUCUAAUUGUAUUUUCAUUAAUUUAAGUAUUUCUUUUAAUUUUUUUUAGCAAAUUUCAAAAUUCAUUUACAAAAAUUAAAAUUGAAAGAUUUUGUCAUAAUUUACAAUUACAUUUAAAUAAAAAUUAAUUAUAUUAAAAUAUUAAUAAUAGUAAAACUUUUUUUUUAUUUUUUAAUUAAUCAUAAUAAAAUUAAUUGUCAAAUUUAUCAUAAAAAUUUCCUUUUACGAUUAAUAAUAAAUUCAAAUGAAGAAUAAUAUAUUUAAUUAAAAUUUUUUAAAUAUUAAUAAAUUUAUAUAUCUUAUUAUUUUCUUAACUAAUUUCUAAAAUUAAUUUAACAAAUAAAAAAAAAUCUUCAUUCCAAUAUAUAGUAUAUAUAAACUAUAAAAAUUAAAAGAAUUAGAGAUAUAUAAGUGAAAUCAUUUUUAAAUUAUACUUUUUAUUUUAAUUUUUUUAUUUCAUUAAUAUUUUUAAUAUUCAUUAAUUUAAUUUAAUUUUUUACUUUAAAAACAUACAUUUAUUAUUUUAAUAAUAUUCUUAAUAUUUAUCUUGACCCAAGGAGCUCUCCCAAGUCCAACUGGCUGGAUGGCCCAAUUGGCCAUCAUCAAGAGCUGUAGAAGGCUGAAAAUUGGCUGGUGAACGGGUUGAGUUGCCAAAAUCGAAUGUGGGUUGCCUUAUUCGGAUUGGCUAGUAGGCAUGUGGACGGAUUGGCUGGCAAGAUGGAAGGCCUGCCAGGCGGAACUGAUAGGCGGAAGAAAUUUGCUGGGCAAAAUCAGCUAGCAGUAGCUAGCCUGGCAAUAGGCAGCUCAGAUGCCCCAUAGGCCUACCAAGGAAAGCAAGGAGUUCCGUCGGCCAACCACGAAUGCGCUGGGGAGCCUCGUAGGCCAACCACGAACAAGCUCGAAAAUGCAGUAGGCCUAUCAAGGAGGAGUCGGAUGUCCCGUAAGGAGGAACUUAGAUGUUUGGCGGAAUUGAUUGCUGCAGGAAGGCACAAUCCACGGAGAUGGCUUGGGCAGCAGGAUUGUUGGGCCGUGGAACCUCGGCAAGACAGGCAGACGUCCUCGAUUGACCAACGGGUUUGAUAGCGCUAGACUCCAUGGCCGGCCAGCGAACUUGGCAAGAUUGGAAGCCCACAGGCCUAUGAUCUCGCUGAACGCCCAAAACACGGGGGAAAGGCGCGCAGGCCAUGCCUCAGCACUCCCCAGACCCCUGGUAGGCCAACCAGGAGAAGAUGGGUGAAAAUUAGAGAGUUCUCCGGAAAAUUCUAGAACCAACUGGAUGAGUCUAGGCAACACCCCAAUUCCAAGGCAGAUUGAACAAAUGGCAGUCUCUGAUUGGUCCAAAUAAUUCAAUGGCUAAGAUAUGUACACAGGUUGUUUUAAUAAUUUUUAUUUUAAAAUUAAUUUAGUGGAAUUUCAAGUAAUUUAGAUUUUUUCUUUAGAUUUUCUUAAUAAACUCUAAAAUCAAUUUAAAAUAAUAAAAUUAUAAUCUCAUGUAUAUCUUUAUUUAAAAAAUUUGAUGUUAUUGUAUUUUUAUAUAUCUUUUAAGAUUUCCUUAAUAUUUUUAUAUAUCUUUUAAGAUUUCCUUAACUAACUAAAUUUCAUUUAAAAAAUAUAAAAUUAUCAUUUAUUUUAAAUAAUAAGAUUAUUAACUACUUAAGUAAUUAAAUUAAAUAAUUUCUAAAUAACUUAAAAGUUAAAAACAUUAUAAAAAAUCUCAUUAUUUCCAAAUUUUCACUUUUAUAAAUUGAAAAUCAGAAAAGAAAAAUCUCAUUAUCUUCCAAUUAUACUGUUGGAUUAGUAAAUUCUUUUGAAAAUUAAUUAAUUUUAUUUUUUAAUGCAUAAAAAAAUUACUAUAAAAAAAUGUAAUAUUUAAUUUGAAACUAAUAAAAUAAAAAACCAAAGUAUAUUUAUAAGAUAGAGAGUAAUUUUUUUAUAUUUUUAAACAAAAAGAAAAUUCGAAUUUUGAAUUCAAUUUGUUAUAGUAUUAAGCAUAAUCUCAAAUACUGGAAUUUGAAGUAAUCUCGAAGUCCUAUUGAUUGGCAUUCAUCGGCAAACUUCAACUAUGUUUUAAGUUUAAAUACUUAAACCCUCUUCUCAUAUUCUUUGCUUAACCUAAGCAUCGACAAUCUCCAUUGGUGCCUUUCAGUUUAAAGGUUUCGGCUGGAUUUCCAAUUUUCUGGGAUUUACUAGCCAUGGACAAUCCAUUGGAAUAUUACGGUGAUGAUUCAAGUGAUCCUGAUGAAAAUGUGAAUUCUGAUUACGAAUAUGAUGAUGAUGCAAUUCUCUUGGCUGAGAAAGACGAUGAUUCCAACAAGGAUUUCAAGCCACAAAACUGUAGGGUCCUGAAGCUAGAAGAUGUUCGCCAACGCAUGGAGGAAGAUAUCGCUAACGUUUCCAGCGUCCUUUCUAUAUCAAAAGCUGAGGCAAGUAUAUUACUUCGCUACUUUCAUUGGUCUGUCAGCAAAGUUAAUGAUGUUUGGUUUGUUGAUGAGUCUGAAAUCCGUAAAAAACUUGGCUUGUUCGGGAAACCAGAAGUGGUUCAUCAUGAUGAUAGUGUAAUUAUAAUAUGUGGGAUCUGUUUUGAAUACUUUUCAUAUGAUGGGUUAUGUUCAGCUGCAUGUGGUCACCUUUAUUGUAAAGAAUGCUGGGCUAGUUACAUUACUACAUCGAUCAAUAAUGAUAACCUUAGGUGUUUGUCUCUAAGGUGUCCUGAACCGUCGUGUAAGGCGGUGGUGGAUCAGGACAUGGUUGACUCAUUAGUGUCGGAGGAAGACAGGAAGAAGUAUUCUGAGUUCAUGGUUAAGUCUUGCGUUGAAGAGAGCAGGAAUACAAAAUGGUGCCCUGGCCCAGGAUGUGAGUAUGUGAUUGAGUUCAUCGCUGGGGAAGGAAGCUUUGAUGUGACUUGCAUUUGUUUGGCGAGCUUUUGCUGGAACUGCGGCGAGGAAGGUCACCGUCCCUUAGAUUGCGAGACUGUUAAGCUUUGGCUUUCAAAGAACAUGUCGGAAUCUGAGAAUGUCAAUUACAUAUUAUCUUAUUGCAAGCCUUGUCCGAACUGUAAGAGACCCAUAGAAAAAAACCAGGGGUGUUCAAACAUGACGUGCAGGAUCUGUGGUCACAAUUUUUGCUGGACGUGCCUUUGUCCAAAUGGCUAUCAUCUUGCUUGUAACAUAUACAAAGCUUCGGAUACAGAAGCCUCGAGAAAAAUGAUGGGACAGAAAACUAUGCAGAAAUAUAUGCAUUAUUUUGAACGUUGGGAUGCUAAUAAAAGAUCCAAAGCAAAGGCUAUUGCAGGUUUCGGAAAUAUGAAGAAUGAGCAAUUCAAGCGGCUGAGUAAGAAACUGAAGAUUUCAGACGCAGAUUUCGAUUUUUUAUCUAAAGCCUGGCUGCAGAUAAUUGAAUGUAGAGGAAUUCUGGGGUGGAGUUUUGUGUAUGGAUACAAUUUGCCUGACAAUGAGCCUGCAAAGAAGCAGUUUUUUGGCUACUUGCAAGGGGAAGCAGAAUCUACACUGGAGAAGCUUCAUCACUGUGUGGAAAUUGAGAUACUGUCGUUUCUCAAUGUUAAUAAUCCAUUAGAGAAUUUCGAUGAUUACAGAAAUAAGUUAAUUAAACUGACUUUUGUGACAGGAAAUUACUUUGAGAAGCUGGUUAAAGCAUUAGAAAAUGAUCUACCUGGAGUCCAUGAGUCUAGCAGCGGCGGCAGCAGCAGCAGCAGCAGCUCUAAGUAUCAAUCAGAAGAUGAAUAUUGGAUUUGUGCUAGAUGUUCCCAUGCCAAUCCCUACUCUGUCAACAAAUGCAAAGGGUGUCCGGCUGAUGCUAAUCUUGCAAGGAUUAAUUUGGACUAUUUUCUUUUUAUGGUAAACAACAGAACAGAUUAUCAUUUUUAUCCACGUUAGCAACAGUUCUUUUUUACUGCUUUAUUUAUUUACUUGCUAGAUAACCAGGACUGAACCUCGCUGGUGCAUGGCUUUUUGUGUUUCUCAGUUUAAUAUUUUCUAUUCAGGGUUUAUUUAUUUAUUUAUUUACAUUGUUCCAUGAGUUCAAAUUAUCUCAAGAACAGAUGCAUGUGAUUCAUAUCAAGAAGGAAAUAUAUAUAUAUAGAUAUAUAUAUAUAUAUUAUGUUUCUUUGUUGCUGAAGUGAAACUUGCACAAAUAAAAACUGCAAAAUCCUUACAGGCUUAAAGCCCUGAAGAAUUCCUCUACCUAAACCUUCAUAUCAGGAAACCUAAGCUGAUGUUUAUGUGGCAACUUCUUCUCAUACAGAUUUUUUUUUUAUUUGUAUUGUGUAAGUAGUAUUCAGUAGAAUAUACAAAAGAAUGUAAUGACUAACAAAAAGAAUAAGGUAUGGUUCCUUCUUGGCCGUCAUUUGUGCCAAAUAUAUGUGUUAUUUCUCGGCUACCUGCUGUCUUCUUCGGCAACAACACCAUCGGAAAGUUUUGAGAGAAUGAAUAUACAAGCUGAGGAAACCAGCACAGCUCCAGCAAAACAAGCAAGAUCCAAACUGGUGACCAUAGGUAUUUUCUUGAAUUUUUCCAACAAUCCCACUUGAAGUAUCAUCAUGACUGCAUGCCCAAUUCUGGACUUGGCUUGGGCAACCGUCUCCAUUUGCACCCAUGUUGGAAGAGACUGAAACAGACACAAUAAUCAUCAGAAACCUUAGUAUCUAUACAACGUCAGGGAAAACAAAAGGAAAACAGGAUCAUGUCAUGUGUGCAAAUUUGAAAGAAAGGCUCACCUUCAAAUGGUAGAGGCCAAAAAGAUUUGAUCCUGGGAGCAGUUGCCCAUUUUCUUUCAAAUUCUUUGGUUCCACAAAGAUUACAUAUAACCCCACUCCAAACAUAAACAUGGCUGUUCCUACCAAGAACAUGUCUGCAUAACAGAAGGAACACAACUGUUCAGUAAACUGAAUUAGAAUCCCUUUGUUGUUACGCUUCAUUUUGCAAAUGAAAAUUUUUUAAAUUCUUUCGUUCCAAUCAAAGAGAAUGAUUAUAAAAGAAAUCAAUUGAAUUAAAUUCUUGCAGAAUUCUUAAUACUAAACAGAGAAUUAGAAGAAAACGCUGAAGCAUACAAGGCAGAUGUAUAUACCAAUGGCUUCUAUAAGUAGCUGCACGAUUUGUCCUCCCUCUGAACUGUGAGAUAACAUGCUAAAAUAGUUGAAGUAUGCCUCUAGAAUGAGAAAGCAACCCUGCAAAAUUUGAUGUUAAAUAUGUAUCUGUCAGUGUCCAACACAAGGCAGAGUUUCAAGAAAACAAAAUUAAUUUUUUUAAAAAAUACAAGCUUCUCUCUGUUUUUUUUUUUGUUUUUUUUCCAGUCUGUUUUUUUAAAAUAAUUAAUGAUAAAAAUAAUAGAUUACCUCCACAAAACACAAUACUGAACUAAGCAAUGCUCCUGCUGUGGCAAAUAAAGUAAAGAACCGACAAUCAAUUAUGGCCUGCACAAGGAAAAUUAUAUGAUAAUUAAUUAGAAAUCCACAUUGACUAUAAAGAUUUUUAAUAAAUAAAUAAAUAAAAAUAGCUAAAAAUUACAACACUAGACUAAAAAUUGCAGUUCCAGGAAUCUGAAUUUCAUUUCCAGUAGAGCUCUUUGGAUUUGAUUUCCACGGGGAUAUAAUAAUGAAUAAUAAACAAUCACAAUGAAAAAGAACGAACCUUUUCAAUGAGCGACUGGACCUGUAUUUUCCACGGCUUACGUUUAACAGCAGGCCUCAAAACCUUAAACAAAGCAUUACCAACAGUUGCAACCAAAGAAGCCAAAUCUAAUAUUCCCUCAUCAGCCCGUGAGUCUGUAGUGAUACAGCUCUCGCUAAUAGCAACGGAUGCUUUCACAACCGCCGCCGUUGAUUUCCUUUUAUCACCAUCACUUGAAACCAUCUUCUGAUCUCCACCCAACCCAGCAGCAGUAUUCUUAGCGAUGCAUUUCAACGAGGCAGAAGAUGAAGAAGUUGAACCAGGAGGAUGAACAUGAGGAAGAGGCCUAGACGAACGCAGGAGUCUUGUGGUCGCCAUUACUUUUAGUUUUCUUGAUUUUCGGCAGUUGGCCUGUGGAGGUUUUGGGAGUCGAAGUUCUAUGCUUUUGAAGUUUUAGCCAGUUGUUGCGUGGCCUAUAGUGCUUCUUAUAGUGACAGUGAGAAGGAGAGAAGAUUCGAAGCAUAUUAGCCGGAGGGAGUUUUGAGUUUUCCGCGAGAGUUUGGUGUUUGAAAUUUUGACCUUACGUGAUGAUUUUCCAGUUUCCACCAACGUGUGGGGCCAUAAGAGUUGUAAGCCUACCACGUGGCAAAUGGGUAUCUUUUGGAGGACUUUUACUGGGAGUUUUUCUAUCGUCGGCUUGGAA